AUUCUAGAAACGUGUCAAGUGCUGAAACUCUGUACUCAAGCGACAGAAGCUAAAGUAAAACAACAUUCUGCUUUCUCCUUCCCUUCUGCCUUUUGCCUUAACCAAGUACGAUGACUGACCAUCAAAACCCUAAACCCACCGAUAACCUCCCUUCAACAAAUCCACCUAAAAUCGGAUCCUCUAACAGUGGAUUUUCCGGGUCGCCCCACUUUCCAAACCCGCCCGACCGUUCAAACCCGGACCCGGCAACACUGAGAGAGCAAUGGAAGUUUGCUAUUAGACAGUACAGCAAAUGGUAUUCACAUGCUUGGGGUACUGCUAUUUUAGCUGGGCUUUCUUUUUACGCCCUUGGUUGGAUUAUUAAAGGUGAUAAUCCUUUGCCCUCUUUCAAGCCCAAAGAAUCGGAUAGUAAAAAUGCUUCUUCUUCUUCUUCUUCGUCUAGUGAUGUUCCCGAGGUCAAGCGAAGUUGAUGAUGACGAUAAUUUAUAUUUAGGUGAUAAUCCUUUGCCUUCUUUCAAGCCCCUAGAAUCGGAUACUAAAAAUGCUUCUUUGGCUUCUGAUGAUGUUGGUGAUGUUGGUGCUGUUCCCGAGGUUUAGCGGAGUUGAUGAUGACUAUAAUUUCUAUUUAGGUCUGUGGUGUAGCUCUCUUUUACUCAAUCAAAUAAGGUACCCAUGAACAGCUGAAGUCUCCCUCCCCUCUGAACCCCUGACAGCUGGGCUUGUUAAAAUUCUCUUUCUGCAAGCUCUAUGUGGAUGGAAGUGCAAUCACUCCUAACACGUAAUUCCUUGGCAAAUUCAGUGCAUCUAUCUCCAAGGGAAAAAACCCAACAUUGUAAUAGUCCAGACAAGUCUCAAGUGUGGCUUUUUUCUUCAACCUUUGUGUCCUGCAAUGAAUUCAACAAAAUGCAAGAGAAAAACAAAUAGUACCCUGAGUUGUUUUCAUUAAGAAGACUUUUGAUGUGUAUUUCCUGUACAGUAGACGUGCAUAUCAAUAAUACUGUAAUUUUGAGUUGUUGUAA